GGCGAGAUGGCCGAGCGGUCUAAAGCGUCACGUUAGGGCGUUCCUUGAUAACACUCUUGAGAUCUUCUGGUCCACGAUUGCGUAGUCCGAAAGGGCGUGGGCUCGAAUCCCACUCUCGUCG